rnacentral:rRNA from 1 species
CCCUUAGAUGUCCUGGGCCGCACGCGCGCUACACUGAUGCAUUCAACAAGCCUAGCCUUGACCGAGAGGUCCGGGUAAUCUUUGAAACUGCAUCGUGAUGGGGCUAGAUUGUUGCAAUUAUUAAUCUUCAACGAGGAAUGCCUAGUAAGCGUGAUUCAUCAAAUCGCGUUGAUUACGUCCCUGCCCUUUGUACACACCGCCCGUCGCUCCUACCGAUUGAAUGUGUUGGUGAGGAGCUCGGAUUGGCAGCAGUUGGUGGUUCGCCACCGGCUAUUGCUGAGAAGUCCUCCAAACCGCCCCAUUUAGAGGAAGGAGAAGUCGUAACA